rnacentral:misc_RNA from 1 species
GACAAACACAUUAUCCUUUUUGUCAAUCAAUGUAGUAACAUCAUCAGAACCUUCAUUUUCAAGGGAGAAAACGUCUUGCAAUUUGAAUGAUCUAGUAUCAUUUGUAUGUUGUGUCUCAUUCUUCUUGAUCUUCUCAUGGGUAAUUUUGGCUACCGUCUCCAGGACUCCCGUCUCAUCAGCAACCGUACUGUUAAAGCUGCGUCCAUCAGAACCUUCAGGCUGAUCGUUUUCAGAGAACUCUUUCUCGAGAACACGAUCGAACAUUUUGGCAAUAGUGCCAUCAUUAGUUUCGGGAGCGGACGAAUUUACUAAAUUACCGUAAAACCUUGCCCUAAUCUCCUUUUCAGAUCUGGCCGCUAAGGUCAUCCUCCCGGAAUAAACAACCGACAGAAAGAGGAAUAUCCAUGCUCGAAGCUUCUCUCUUCUCACCACAAUCCUCUCCAUUUUUACAGAAGCGAAUGGAAAAUACAGAGAAAAAUUGCAGGAGAAUGGAGAAGAAGAAGAAAA